rnacentral:rRNA from 1 species
UAGGGAAUAUUGGACAAUGGGGGCAACCCUGAUCCAGCCAUGCCGCGUGAGUGAAGAAGGCCCUCGGGUUGUAAAGCUCUUUUGUCCGGAAAGAAAAGCUUCGGGUUAAUACCCCGGGGUUCUGACGGUACCGGAAGAAUAAGCACCGGCUAACUUCGUGCCAGCAGCCGCGGUAAUACGAGGGGUGCAAGCGUUACUCGGAAUUACUGGGCGUAAAGCGUGCGUAGGUGGAUGCGCAAGUUGGGGGUGAAAUCCCGGGGCUUAACCUCGGAAUUGCCCUCAAAACUGCACGUCUUGAGACCGAGAGAGGUAAGGGGAAUUCCUAGUGUAGAGGUGAAAUUCGUAGAUAUUAGGAAGAACACCAGUGGCGAAGGCGCCUUACUGGCUCGGUACUGACGCUGAGGUACGAAAGCGUGGGGAGCAAACA